AAAAACAUGAAAAAAAAAUGUAUUAUAGUGUGUGUAUUAUUUUGCAUGAAUGCAAGAAAAUAUGAAGGAACUUGAAUAUAGAAAAGCAAUUGCUUUUCCCCUCUAACAUGCACUGUUCAAGUGUCUGCUCAGGUGUAUCUGCAAGAUCAUGAGAUGGUUACCUCGUCUUCUGAAAGUAUGCGCCUGACUUCCUUUGCUAUGUCGAUGACAUGUUUAUCUUCACAUCCUAAAAGGCCAAGGGCAUUUUCAAGUUGGAAAAGGUAAUCUUUGUUGGGUCCUGAGGGGCCUUCUGCACGAGCAAUUUGACUAGCAAUUUCUUCAACUGAUGCAGGUCCCAGGUAGUUCUCGUUAAGCUUCUUGUCUGGAGAACCUAUGUAUACUAAUACAUCAGAAACAGCUGGUGCUGAUGCUGCAGGCUCAGUGAAAAGAUCUACAUAAGCCUUCUGGUCAUAUUGUUUUUCCCUGACUUCAAGGUAUGUCAGUGCCACUUCUUGAUCUUCCUCCUUCGUUAUCUUGUAGGCCAUACCCCAACAAAUUUCUCCUUCAGCAGGCUCCAGUGUUACUGUUCUACCUGGGAAUUCUGGUGUCCCUCUAUGAUCAGUACUGCCUUGAUAAAAGACACGACGAUAGCCUUUGAUAAAACCGAAAAGACGAUCAUCGUAGUUAAACCCAGGCUUCCAAAUUAGAGAUCCAUAUCCAAAUACCCACAUCACCAUUUUU
rnacentral:misc_RNA from 1 species